UGGCUUACCUCCUCAUUUAUGCGUCAUGACUUGUAUCGUCAUGAGCGUAUUGUGGGUUUCCUGUGUUGCAUACCUAACCAAUGGUAUCGUUUUGAUUGAUCGAAGUCCCUUUUCAUCUUGUGUUGCCUUUGCGACGCAUGAUGAACCUCGAAGCGGUCUCUAUGUUCCACCAUGUUGAUGCUAGUGUUUCGAUGUUGUGGCCCAUUGAGCGUUGCUUGGUUUCGUGGGUACAGAACAUGAUUUGGGCAUAGGGUCACUCGUGACUCUUGUUUUGUCCUUUACCAGUGUUCUUUAUAACGACGGUUCAUGCGCGCCUAGGCUCGUACCUGCGCGAUGUUCUUUGUCGAAGAGGAAUGC
rnacentral:misc_RNA from 1 species